rnacentral:rRNA from 1 species
GCCCUUCGGGGUACACGAGCGGCGAACGGGUGAGUAACACGUGGGUGAUCUGCCUCGCACUCUGGGAUAAGCCUGGGAAACUGGGUCUAAUACCGGAUAUGACCUUACAUCGCAUGGUGUUUGGUGGAAAGAUUUAUCGGUGCGAGAUGGGCCCGCGGCCUAUCAGCUUGUUGGUGGGGUAAUGGCCUACCAAGGCGACGACGGGUAGCCGGCCUGAGAGGGCGACCGGCCACACUGGGACUGAGACACGGCCCAGACUCCUACGGGAGGCAGCAGUGGGGAAUAUUGCACAAUGGGCGAAAGCCUGAUGCAGCGACGCCGCGUGAGGGAUGACGGCCUUCGGGUUGUAAACCUCUUUCGACAGGGACGAAGCGCAAGUGACGGUACCUGUAGAAGAAGCACCGGCCAACUACGUGCCAGCAGCCGCGGUAAUACGUAGGGUGCGAGCGUUGUCCGGAAUUACUGGGCGUAAAGAGCUUGUAGGCGGCUUGUCGCGUCGAUCGUGAAAACUUGGGGCUCAACCCCAAGCUUGCGGUCGAUACGGGCAGGCUUGAGUACUUCAGGGGAGACUGGAAUUCCUGGUGUAGCGGUGAAAUGCGCAGAUAUCAGGAGGAACACCGGUGGCGAAGGCGGGUCUCUGGGAAGUAACUGACGCUGAGAAGCGAAAGCGUGGGUAGCGAACAGGAUUAGAUACCCUGGUAGUCCACGCCGUAAACGGUGGGUACUAGGUGUGGGUUUCCUUCCACGGGAUCCGUGCCGUAGCUAACGCAUUAAGUACCCCGCCUGGGGAGUACGGCCGCAAGGCUAAAACUCAAAGGAAUUGACGGGGGCCCGCACAAGCGGCGGAGCAUGUGGAUUAAUUCGAUGCAACGCGAAGAACCUUACCUGGGUUUGACAUACACCGGAAACCUGCAGAGAUGUAGGCCCCCUUGUGGUCGGUGUACAGGUGGUGCAUGGCUGUCGUCAGCUCGUGUCGUGAGAUGUUGGGUUAAGUCCCGCAACGAGCGCAACCCUUAUCUUAUGUUGCCAGCGCGUAAUGGCGGGGACUCGUGAGAGACUGCCGGGGUCAACUCGGAGGAAGGUGGGGACGACGUCAAGUCAUCAUGCCCCUUAUGUCCAGGGCUUCACACAUGCUACAAUGGCCGGUACAGAGGGCUGCGAUACCGUGAGGUGGAGCGAAUCCCUUAAAGCCGGUCUCAGUUCGGAUCGGGGUCUGCAACUCGACCCCGUGAAGUUGGAGUCGCUAGUAAUCGCAGAUCAGCAACGCUGCGGUGAAUACGUUCCCGGGCCUUGUACACACCGCCCGUCACGUCAUGAAAGUCGGUAACACCCGAAGCCGGUGGCCUAACCCCUUGUGG